UGGGGUGUAGCUCAUGGUAGAGCACUUGCCUAGCAUGAGCAAGGCUCUGGAUUCAAUCCCUAGCACUACAG
rnacentral:tRNA from 1 species